rnacentral:rRNA from 1 species
UACGUAGGGGGCAAGCGUUGUCCGGAUUUAUUGGGCGUAAAGAGCUCGUAGGCGGUUUGGUAAGUCUGGUGUGAAAUCUCCACGCUCAACGUGGAGGGGCCACCCGAUACUGCCAUGACUGGAGUCCGGAAGAGGCGAGUGGAAUUCCUGGUGUAGCGGUGGAAUGCGCAGAUAUCAGGAGGAACACCGAUGGCGAAGGCAGCUCGCUGGGACGGUACUGACGCUGAGGCGCGAAAGCUAGGGGAGCAAACGGG